GAUCCUGGCUCAGGAUGAACGCUGGCGGCGUGCUUAACACAUGCAAGUCGAACGGAGAUAUCAUUUUCGAAGCGAUUAGUUUACUAAGAGUGGAGAUGUUGGUAUCUUAGUGGCGGACGGGUGAGUAACGCGUGGGUAACCUGCCUUACACUGGGGGAUAACACUUAGAAAUAGGUGCUAAUACCGCAUAACAGGAGAAGACGCAUGUCUUAUCCUUGAAAACUCCGGUGGUGUAAGAUGGACCCGCGUCUGAUUAGCUGGUUGGCGGGGUAACGGCCCACCAAGGCGACGAUCAGUAGCCGGCCUGAGAGGGUGAACGGCCACAUUGGGACUGAGACACGGCCCAAACUCCUACGGGAGGCGGCAGUGGGGAAUAUUGGACAAUGGGGGGAACCCUGAUCCAGCGACGCCGCNUGAGUGAAGAAGUAUUUCGGUAUGUAAAGCUCUAUC
rnacentral:rRNA from 1 species